rnacentral:rRNA from 1 species
UACGUAGGGACCAAGCGUUGUUCGGAUUUACUGGGCGUAAAGGGCGCGUAGGCGGCUUAACAAGUCACUUGUGAAAUCUCCGGGCUUAACUCGGAACGGCCAAGUGAAACUGUCAAGCUAGAGUGCAGAAGGGGCAAUCGGAAUUCUUGGUGUAGCGGUGAAAUGCGUAGAGAUGUGGAGGAACACCGAUGGCGAAGGCAGCCCCCUGGGUCAAAACUGACGCUCAUGCACGAAAGCGUGGGGAGCAAACAGG